GCUGGCAUGAAGAGAGAUGGAGGCGGUUGUUUGGAAUAUGUUUCACAGUGACCACAAUGCUCGGAGUGUUAACGGAUGUUAAAAUUAAAACCCAUCCGUUCUUUCAUAUUGAAUCGGUGUCAAAACGUGCCAUCAGCCCUCGGCAUGCACAACUGUGAGCUGUUGUGCAUUGACAAAUUCAAAUGGAGCCUGUUGAGCUGUGGGUAGAUGUACCACAUAGGGUUGACCUUUUAUAGGGACUCGUCCUCCUGGGUCAGGUUUUGCUGCAUCCAGCAAAGGGGCCUUCAAACCUUCAGAGGCUCACAAAGGCCCCAUUCUCCUCUGUGUUGCUCUUCUUCAUCACCCAGCUCCAGGGCAUAGCAGAUCUGCUCAAACCCCGGUAUUGUCUGGGCAAAACCACAUAUUAAAUUUGCCAUGCAUAAGCCACUUCAUUGAGCUGCAGAAGGAAUUCCUUUACUGGGUCAUUCAUCUGUGUACAUGGUUUCGACACACAUUUGAAACAAAGCAAGCCAGUCAAGGAUAAUAUUGAGGAAGUUACAUACAUUUCAAGCUUUACAGCAUAUGUCAUUUCUGUUUCUUGCUCUUUUGGCUCUGGAGUUGUUGGUGCAGAUUCAUGCAGCGGGAACAUUGCGAGACUGUAGCUGCGAGCGAUCCAAAAUUUCUCCCUGCAUAUGUCAUGUUUAGCACUUCAUUAGGAAUUCUGGAUUUUCCCCGUCAGGAAUGUCAACUGAAUAGAAAGAGAGGGAAACUAAGAGAGCUCUCUAUCCACAGCAAACAAUUAACAAUGAAUAAUAAAGAAAACAAAGCAGAUUCAAGUUCACUGGUUGUCCUGUGGGUAAUUCAUUUCUUCUUUAUUGGAAUAGUACAUGAAUUUAUCUUUUGUUUGCUCAUUUUAGUUAUGAAUAUGUUUAUUCCAUAUCUGUAACUUCAUCUCUGCACCAGCACUCACACUUUAUAACCAUGUUAAUGAAUGAUAUGGAUUAUGUAGGCCUAUGAUUUUUCAAACCAACAGACCAUUUUGCACCUUGGCAAACUUCUAAUAUCAUGAGUUUAACUGUACUGCAACUUAAGAAAACUUUCAGAAAUGCACUGAAGUUGACUACCCGGUAAUGAUGUUAAAAAAUGCUAACGAUAUAAGUUUAUUUGAGUUUUAACAUUCUGAAUGCAUGAUUCCGAUAUUAUUACACAGUGAGUAUAUUGUACUGACCAAGUCAUGGAGUAAGUAAUUCAAUGAGCCAUAACUAUGGCAACAACUCCCAUUCAUGGAUGUAUUAAGAGAGCUAGUAUGGUGACUCUACCAGAGAAAUAAAAAUGACAACAACGUCCCACAGCACACCCUGAAAGCUAUACAACUUUUUUUGGC